rnacentral:tRNA from 1 species
GGUCUUAUAGCUCAGUGGUAGAGCACUUGUCUUGCACAUGAGAGGCACUGGGCUUGAUCCUAAGUACCACAUAAAAAUAAUAAAAUAAAGGUAUUGAGUCCA